UUGCGGUACUUCGACCGUGCAAAGGUAGCAUAAUCAUUUGCCUUAUAAUUGAAGGCUUGUAUGAAUGGUUUGACAAGAAUAUAGCUGUCUCUAUAUAAUUUUAUAGAAUUUUAUCUUGAAGUGAAGAAGCUUGAAUAAUAUUGAUAGACAAGAAGACCCUAUCGAGCUUUAAAAAAGGUAGUAGAGGUAUAUAAAAUAGAAUUAAAAAAUCGUCUAUUACAAAUUUUGGUUGGGGCGACUUAGGAACAUGAAAAGCUUCCUAAAUUUUUAUAAGAGAACAAAGUGAUCCAAAAUAUUUUGAUUAAGGAAAUUAGUUACCGUAGGGAUAACAGCAUUAUCUUCUUUGAGAGUUCAUAUCGAAAAGGGGGUUUGUGACCUCGAUGUUGGACCAGAAUAUCCUAAAGAUGUAGCAGUCUUUAAGGGUUGGUCUGUUCGACCAUUAAUUU
rnacentral:rRNA from 1 species